GUCAACCUUCCAAAAAAGCACUCGUUUGGUUACUAAAUAACCAAGUGAGUUGUCACUGGAAGGAGAGA